GGCUUAACACAUGCAAGUCGAGGGGCAGCAUGGUCUUAGCUUGCUAAGGCCGAUGGCGACCGGCGCACGGGUGAGUAACACGUGUCCAACCUGCCGUCUACUCUUGGACAGCCUUCUGAAAGGAAGAUUAAUACAAGAUGGCAUCAUGAGUCCACAUGUUCACAUGAUUAAAGGUAUUCCGGUAGACGAUGGGGAUGCGUUCCAUUAGAUAGUAGGCGGGGUAACGGCCCACCUAGUCUUCGAUGGAUAGGGGUUCUGAGAGGAAGGUCCCCCACAUUGGAACUGAGACACGGUCCAAACUCCUACGGGAGGCAGCAGUGAGGAAUAUUGGUCAAUGGGCGAGAGCCUGAACCAGCCAAGUAGCGUGAAGGAUGACUGCCCUAUGGGUUGUAAACUUCUUUUAUAAAGGAAUAAAGUCGGGUAUGCAUACCCGUUUGCAUGUACUUUAUGAAUAAGGAUCGGCUAACUCCGUGCCAGCAGCCGCGGUAAUACGGAGGAUCCGAGCGUUAUCCGGAUUUAUUGGGUUUAAAGGGAGCGUAGAUGGAUGUUUAAGUCAGUUGUGAAAGUUUGCGGCUCAACCGUAAAAUUGCAGUUGAUACUGGAUAUCUUGAGUGCAGUUGAGGCAGGCGGAAUUCGUGGUGUAGCGGUGAAAUGCUUAGAUAUCACGAAGAACUCCGAUUGCGAAGGCAGCCUGCUAAGCUGCAACUGACAUUGAGGCUCGAAAGUGUGGGUAUCAAACAGGAUUAGAUACCCUGGUAGUCCACACGGUAAACGAUGAAUACUCGCUGUUUGCGAUAUACAGCAAGCGGCCAAGCGAAAGCGUUAAGUAUUCCACCUGGGGAGUACGCCGGCAACGGUGAAACUCAAAGGAAUUGACGGGGGCCCGCACAAGCGGAGGAACAUGUGGUUUAAUUCGAUGAUACGCGAGGAACCUUACCCGGGCUUAAAUUGCAGAUGAAUUACGGUGAAAGCCGUAAGCCGCAAGGCAUCUGUGAAGGUGCUGCAUGGUUGUCGUCAGCUCGUGCCGUGAGGUGUCGGCUUAAGUGCCAUAACGAGCGCAACCCUUGUUGUCAGUUACUAACAGGUCAUGCUGAGGACUCUGACAAGACUGCCAUCGUAAGAUGUGAGGAAGGUGGGGAUGACGUCAAAUCAGCACGGCCCUUACGUCCGGGGCUACACACGUGUUACAAUGGGGGGUACAGAGGGCCGCUACCACGCGAGUGGAUGCCAAUCCCAAAAACCUCUCUCAGUUCGGACUGGAGUCUGCAACCCGACUCCACGAAGCUAGAUUCGCUAGUAAUCGCGCAUCAGCCACGGCGCGGUGAAUACGUUCCCGGGCCUUGUACACACCGCCCGUCAAGCCAUGGGAGCCGGGGGUACCUGAAGUGCGUAACCGCGAGGAGCGCCCUAGGGUAAAACUGGUGACUGGGGCUAAGUCAUAACAA
rnacentral:rRNA from 1 species